rnacentral:rRNA from 1 species
GAUGAACGCUGGCGGCGUGCCUAAUACAUGCAAGUCGAGCGAACAGACGAGGAGCUUGCUCCUCUGACGUUAGCGGCGGACGGGUGAGUAACACGUGGAUAACCUACCUAUAAGACUGGGAUAACUUCGGGAAACCGGAGCUAAUACCGGAUAAUAUAUUGAACCGCAUGGUUCAAUAGUGAAAGACGGUUUUGCUGUCACUUAUAGAUGGAUCCGCGCCGCAUUAGCUAGUUGGUAAGGUAACGGCUUACCAAGGCAACGAUGCGUAGCCGACCUGAGAGGGUGAUCGGCCACACUGGAACUGAGACACGGUCCAGACUCCUACGGGAGGCAGCAGUAGGGAAUCUUCGGCAAUGGGCGAAAGCCUGACGGAGCAACGCCGCGUGAGUGAUGAAGGUUUUCGGAUCGUAAAACUCUGUUAUUAGGGAAGAACAAAUGUGUAAGUAACUAUGCACGUCUUGACGGUACCUAAUCAGAAAGCCACGGCUAACUACGUG